rnacentral:rRNA from 1 species
GACAGAGGAGGCAAGCGUUGUUCGGAAUUACUGGGCGUAAAGGGCGCGUAGGCGGCCUGUUAAGUCGAACGUGAAAUCCCCGGGCUCAACCCGGGAACUGCGUCCGAUACUGGCAGGCUUGAAUUCGGGAGAGGGAUGUGGAAUUCCAGGUGUAGCGGUGAAAUGCGUAGAUAUCUGGAGGAACACCGGUGGCGAAGGCGGCAUCCUGGACCGAUAUUGACGCUGAUGCGCGAAAGCCAGGGGAGCAAACGGG